GUGAGGAAUAUUGGUCAAUGGGCGGGAGCCUGAACCAGCCAAGUCGCGUGAAGGAAGAAGGAUCUAUGGUUCGUAAACUUCUUUUGCAGGGGAAUAAAGUGCAGGACGUGUCCUGUUUUGUAUGUACCCUGAGAAUAAGGAUCGGCUAACUCCGUGCCAGCAGCCGCGGUAAUACGGAGGAUCCGAGCGUUAUCCGGAUUUAUUGGGUUUAAAGGGUGCGUAGGUGGUUUGAUAAGUCAGCGGUGAAAGUUUGCAGCUUAACUGUAAAAAUGCCGUUGAAACUGUCGGACUUGAGUGUAAAUGAGGUAGGCGGAAUGCGUGGUGUAGCGGUGAAAUGCAUAGAUAUCACGCAGAACUCCGAUUGCGAAGGCAGCUUACUAAGCUACAACUGACACUGAAGCACGAAAGCAUGGGGAUCAAACAGGAUUAGAUACCCUGGUAGUCC
rnacentral:rRNA from 1 species